rnacentral:lncRNA from 1 species
GUAUCCCUGGGAGAUCUUCAAGAAAGACCUCUAGAAACUCAUUCACUAUAGAGACUGGCUGAAGAGGAAGAUUUUCAACCCUGGAGUCUUUUACUCAGAUUAGAUGAUACAUACAAUCCCUGGAGAUGAGCUUUCAGGCUCUAAGAUAAGCGAUAAAGUGACCUCUAGGUGCCACAGAAUUUCCUGUCCACUCAAUUGGUGUCUCAUUCGGG